rnacentral:misc_RNA from 1 species
UUGUCUUCUCUCAGCAGGAGCCUGCACAUCCAAAACUUAUAAAAUUAAUAAUAUAGAAAAUAUAGUUGCACUAAGGGCACAUAAACGCUUACAUUCAAAUGACUACAGGUAUAUCCCAUCACAGAUGCAGAGGCAUGGUAGAAGAUAAAUUUGAACAUUAUAUGGUUAGAGCUUUAACUCUGCCUAUGUGUGCUUAGCAAAAUAGCCAGUCCCAAGUCCGGAUAAAGGAGGGUUGCAGUAGGUUGAUGACCAGCGUAAAAUUAAAUCAUCUCUUAUGACAUGGAUCCUUAUGAUCUAAUAGAACUGAAUGGCAAAGAAGGAUCAUAUAGCCGACCCCAACUUCUUUGGGAUUAAGGCUUAGUUGUUGCUGUUGUAUGGUUAGAGCUUUAAUUGAUGAACAAAAGAAUAGCUGGGACAAUACAUGAAAUGCAGUUUCACAUUUUAAUAGUUUACUCCAUAUUAUCUGUGAUCACUGAUCAUGGAUUAGGCAACAAUACCAGUGAUGGCUUGAUAUUCAUAUUUAAAAAUGAGCCAGCUGGAGUUGAAAUUCACUCAAUGAAAUUGAAAAUAAGUAAACAAU